UACGGGGGGGGCAAGCGUUGUUCGGAAUUACUGGGCGUAAAGGGCUCGUAGGCGGCCAACUAAGUCGGAUGUGAAAUCCCCAGGCUCAACUUGGGAACUGCAUCCGAUACUGGAUGGCUUGAAUUCGGGAGAGGGAUGCAGAAUUCCAGGUGUAGCGGUGAAAUGCGUAGAUAUCUGGAGGAAUACCGGUGGCGAAGGCGGCAUCCUGGACCGGCAUUGACGCUGAAGCGCGAAAGCUAGGGGAGCAAACGGG
rnacentral:rRNA from 1 species